GCUUGCUACCUGACCUAGCGGCGGACGGGUGAGUAAUGCUUAGGAAUCUGCCUAUUAGUGGGGGACAACAUUCCGAAAGGAAUGCUAAUACCGCAUACGCCCUACGGGGGAAAGCAGGGGAUCUUCGGACCUUGCGCUAAUAGAUGAGCCUAAGUCAGAUUAGCUAGUUGGUGGGGUAAAGGCCUACCAAGGCGACGAUCUGUAGCGGGUCUGAGAGGAUGAUCCGCCACACUGGGACUGAGACACGGCCCAGACUCCUACGGGAGGCAGCAGUGGGGAAUAUUGGACAAUGGGCGAAAGCCUGAUCCAGCCAUGCCGCGUGUGUGAAGAAGGCCUUUUGGUUGUAAAGCACUUUAAGCGAGGAGGAGGCUACUAGUACUAAUACUACUGGAUAGUGGACGUUACUCGCAGAAUAAGCACCGGCUAACUCUGUGCCAGCAGCCGCGGUAAUACAGAGGGUGCGAGCGUUAAUCGGAUUUACUGGGCGUAAAGCGUGCGUAGGCGGCUUUUUAAGUCGGAUGUGAAAUCCCCGAGCUUAACUUGGGAAUUGCAUUCGAUACUGGGAAGCUAGAGUAUGGGAGAGGAUGGUAGAAUUCCAGGUGUAGCGGUGAAAUGCGUAGAGAUCUGGAGGAAUACCGAUGGCGAAGGCAGCCAUCUGGCCUAAUACUGACGCUGAGGUACGAAAGCAUGGGGAGCAAACAGGAUUAGAUACCCUGGUAGUCCAUGCCGUAAACGAUGUCUACUAGCCGUUGGGGCCUUUGAGGCUUUAGUGGCGCAGCUAACGCGAUAAGUAGACCGCCUGGGGAGUACGGUCGCAAGACUAAAACUCAAAUGAAUUGACGGGGGCCCGCACAAGCGGUGGAGCAUGUGGUUUAAUUCGAUGCAACGCGAAGAACCUUACCUGGUCUUGACAUAGUAAGAACUUUCCAGAGAUGGAUUGGUGCCUUCGGGAACUUACAUACAGGUGCUGCAUGGCUGUCGUCAGCUCGUGUCGUGAGAUGUUGGGUUAAGUCCCGCAACGAGCGCAACCCUUUUCCUUAUUUGCCAGCGGGUUAAGCCGGGAACUUUAAGGAUACUGCCAGUGACAAACUGGAGGAAGGCGGGGACGACGUCAAGUCAUCAUGGCCCUUACGACCAGGGCUACACACGUGCUACAAUGGUCGGUACAAAGGGUUGCUACCUAGCGAUAGGAUGCUAAUCUCAAAAAGCCGAUCGUAGUCCGGAUUGGAGUCUGCAACUC
rnacentral:rRNA from 1 species